GACGAACGCUGGCGGCGUGCCUAAUACAUGCAAGUCGAACGCAGUGGGGACGGGUGAGUAACACGUGGGUAACCUCCCAUCAGAGGGGAUAACACUUGGUAACAGGUGCUAAACCGAUACUGAUGGAUGAACCCGCGGUUCAUUAGCUAGUUGGUGAGGUAACGGCUCACCAAGGCCAGGAUGAAUAGGGGACCUGGGGGGGUGUACGGCCAAACUGGGACGGAGACCGGGCCCAGACCCCUACGGGGGGCACCGGUAGGGAAUCUUGGGAAAUGGACGAAAUGUGGACCGAGCAACGCCGCGUGAGUGAAGAAGUUUUUCGGAUGGUAAGACUCUGUGGUUAGGGAAGCGGUAUCUAACCAGAAAGCCACGGCUAACUACGUGCCAGCAGCCGCGGUAAUAC
rnacentral:rRNA from 1 species